rnacentral:rRNA from 1 species
UACGUAGGGGGCUAGCGUUGUCCGGAAUCAUUGGGCGUAAAGGGUGCGUAGGCGGGUCUUUAAGUCAGGGGUGAAAUCCUGGAGCUCAACUCCAGAACUGCCUUUGAUACUGAAGAUCUUGAGUUCGGGAGAGGUGAGUGGAACUGCGAGUGUAGAGGUGAAAUUCGUAGAUAUUCGCAAGAACACCAGUGGCGAAGGCGGCUCACUGGCCCGAUACUGACGCUGAGGCACGAAAGCGUGGGGAGCAAACAGG